rfam:Triticum aestivum genome assembly, contig: Triticum_aestivum_CS42_TGACv1_scaffold_434267_5DL
AUGAGCCGUGCGAGAUGAAAGUCUCAUGGACGGUUUUGCAUGAGAGAAAGAAGCUAGGAAUCCUCUUUUCGACUCUGAC